rnacentral:rRNA from 1 species
AUUGAACGCUGGCGGCAUGCUUUACACAUGCAAGUCGAACGGCAGCGCGGGCUUCUGCCUGGCGGCGAGUGGCGAACGGGUGAGUAAUGCAUCGGAACGUGCCCAGUAGUUGGGGAUAGCCCGGCGAAAGCCGGAUUAAUACCGCAUACGACCUGAGGGUGAAAGCGGGGGACCGAAAGGCCUCGCGCUAUUUGCGCUGCCGAUGUCGGAUUAGCUAGUUGGUGGGGUAAAGGCUUACCAAGGCGACGAUCCGUAGCUGGUCUGAGAGGACGACCAGCCACACUGGGACUGAGACACGGCCCAGACUCCUACGGGAGGCAGCAGUGGGGAAUUUUGGACAAUGGGGGCAACCCUGAUCCAGCCAUGCCGCGUGCGGGAAGAAGGCCUUCGGGUUGUAAACCGCUUUUGUUCGGGAAGAAAUCCUCUGGGCUAAUACCCCGGGGGGAUGACGGUACCGGAAGAAUAAGCACCGGCUAACUACGUG